rnacentral:lncRNA from 1 species
ACAAGGGGUAGCUCGCCUGUUAUCCAUAAUGAAGGAAGAUUUUAGGAUCUUCCAGCCUAAAUCCAGGUGUCCCCAGCUUUUAUAUGCCCUGGGAGGAAAUGUACUUUAUCUGCUCUUUUCACACAGUUCCCCCCUUUUGGCCAUUACAGAAAGGAAGAUCCUGGAAGCAAGGCCUCUUGGAAGACGUUGGGGCCUCAGCAUUGACAGGAAAACCUGGCACCUAGAAAGCUCAAGGGAAAUCAGGAUGUUAGGAAAACCGACUUUGACGGCGCGUACUGAAACGCUCAGAAUUCUAUGGCAUGGUUCAGCAUGAGAAAGUUGCAGACCUGUGACAAUGUGACAGUGGUCCUACUUCAUGGCGACAGAAUGCAGCUGUGGUGUUCAGAAGAAAGUGCCUUGGCCAGGUGAGGUGGCUCACGCCUGUAAUCCCAGCAUUUUGGGAGGCUGAGGCGGGCGGAUCAUGAGGUCAGGAGAUUGAGACCAGCCUGGCCAACAUGGUAAAACCUGUUUCUACUAAAAAUACAAAAAUUAGCUGGGCAUGGUAGCCCGCACCUGUAGUCCGAGGUUGAGGCUGCGGUGAGCCAAGAUUACAUCACUGCACUCCAGCCUGGCAUCAGAAUGAGACUCUGUCUCAAAAAAAGAAGAAGAAGGAGAAAGAAAGAAAAAGAAUGUGCCUUGAAGAUCAAAUGUAAGCAAGCCUAUGUUUUGCAACCAACCAUUAUACACACACACACACACACACACGUACACAUAUACCUUUUGAAUCACUCAUAGUUUAAGUAGGAGGGUAUAUUAGAGGCAGAAUUUAAGACAGAAGCUAUUCACACAGCCUUGGACACAAUUUAAGAAAAGCACAACAAGGGAUGGCGCAGUAUUCUCCAGGCUAGUCACACCCAUGAAUCAUCAAGGAGCAAAAGAGUGGCGCGAUUACUGGAAAACAGAAGAAAAACAGUUUGAUGGGAGGUGUUGUCUUUAAUGGAGAAACACAGUAGUCUACAACGUUAAAUAUUCCAGUAUAACUUUUUUAACCUCCCUCCCAUCUCCUGUUGCUCCCAUUGAUCAAAUCCAACCAGAGUUCAGCCAGUAUGAGAUGACUGAUAGUUCAUUGAGAGUGCAUGCAGUAUGUUGUACAGGGUAGAAAAGAGCGGGAAGUCGAUACGGAGGGCCAACAGCAGAUCUGUCUCACAUACCCCAGAUAAACAUGCCAAGUUUGACAGAGCAUGCCCAGAAGGCACAAAGAGAAGCAAAGAACAGGGAUUUGUCCUAGGGUGCUGGAAGUUUUGAAGGAUAA